rnacentral:lncRNA from 1 species
UCAAGCAUCUAAUGGAUUUCAAGGAGAAAUGGGUUAGUAAUUUAUUCCAUGUGUCUCAGUUUUUCCUAGACUCAAGGCUUACUUUAAAAUAAUUGUAGGCAUUUAAGAAACCAUGUAAACUAAAAAGAAGAAAUUGUGACACUGCCGCUUAGGGUUUUUAAAUCUUUGGACAUGAGUCAAUAUAUUUUUUAAUUUUAUCUUAAUUAGACAUUGUGAGUUCACCAUCUUCCUGUCAGUAUAGCAUCCAAGCUGAUUAUCAUAGAUUACAAGUUCAACUAUCAACUGUGUUCUGAGAGUCUAAAAAAAUAAAUGAAUGUAUUUGUUUGGGUAUUCUUAAAGCAGGAGUGAGGACACAGCGAAAGUGAGACAAGGAAGAGAGAACAAAAUAAAACAGGAAAGAUGGAAAAGCCAAUACCACACGUGUUAAGAGUAUCAAGCUCCCAUGCUGCUAGAGAGAGUCCUCGGCUAGAAACAGGUGCAAAUUCUGGAGAUGAGACCUUGUAGAGUGUUAAGAAUGGUUUUCUUCACAGCAGCUACAGAUGAUCAAGAAGGGCUGCAGAAAGGAGGAAACAGAAACAAACAGCACACCUCUUGGUUUAUUUUUAUUCAUUUCAUCAGUUUCAAGGAAAAUGCGUUGGGAGUUCCUGGCAUAAAGAAUGUCACAAAGACAUGUUUUCAAUAGUGGUGCUAUCCCUAGGGCAGAGAAGACCCAGAGAAAGCACAAGUGGCUGCUGGAACAAAGUCAGACACCGUGCCACCUGUCCACACUCCUUGGCUCUGCCAUCGUGCUGAAGAUCGGUUUAAAGGACUGGCUUCCCUCCCCCCGAAAUUAAAAGAGCACAAACUGAGAAACUGAAUGUAGGAGACAGCAGUGGAUUAUGCUGUUCCCAGGGGUCACCUCAGGUUUGGAAGCAUUCUUUCAAAUUAACCCAUCUCAGGCCAUCUGCAGAGAAGAAAGGUGGUACCUAACUUUUUUUCUUGUCAGCAUUUAGUAGCUGUGUUUUAUUGAACAAGUAAGUUCCCACAACCUAGUUUUUUGUAACUAAAUGUAGUAGAUUUUUAAAUUUUAUCAUCAAAAUCUAUGGACAAUUUUUGAUUAAAAUAGACUCCAUGUCUAUGUCCUGCUUUUCCUCUUAUUAUUAAUUACAUUGUUGUAUAAAAGAACAAGACAUCAGAAUCAAGAAUAUCUUGUCUCUUGGCUUUGAAUUUAUACAAGGUGCUCUUUCUUUAAUGCUGUCUCAAAGGACAUAUUUUUACUCAUUAAAGGGAAGAUCAGAAUCUAGUUGUAUGCACUGCUCCAACAUAUUAAUAAUUAAAAUUAGUAGGUAAAUGUGGUCAAAGCUAUAGAAAGACUUGAGAUGUCAUUUAUAUUGAUUACUGUAUAGCACUCGACAAACAGAAAUGGUUAAAUAAUAGUUUAUAUAAAUAUUUUGUAGCAUUUCAAGUAUUUGAAUGCCUGAAGUUUCUCCUCUUAUGUAGUUCAGAUUAUCAAUUUGAAGACUUAUUCCGCUAGUUAAAAUGUUUUUAGUCUCGUUUGAGUAUUAUAUAAAAGCAAUUUUCAGUUAAAUGUGUUCCGCUUACAUAAAACAUUACAAAUUGUGAGUAUUUAAUUACAUUUUCAUGUUCCUGUAAUGUCUUUAGAAGAUUUUCAUAUUAUUACCUAUCAAUAUAUGUAUGCUUUGUCAAAGAAAAGUCAAACAUAUAUAUCAUUGAAAUUGAAACUUUUUAAAAGUACUUAAUAAUUCUAUUGAAAAACCAC